CGGAUUUAAUGAUUAAAAAACGAGUUUAUGAAAGAUUAAACUCAAGAACUUUGUGUUCUUGAGAGUUUUGAUGAAAAAGUGUUCAAUCUUUACUUUUUCGAUGUCUAUGACGUAGAUCUGAGAAAUGAACUGUCCUUUUGUGUUUAUCUAUGUUUGUUAAGCUUGAAUACAAACUCUUUUGGAAUUUAUAACAUGAAAAAUGGGAUUUUUGGGUCAUUGGUGUAGAAAACGCCAGAAUUUCGCCCCAGGCAAAAU
rnacentral:lncRNA from 1 species